rnacentral:rRNA from 1 species
UCCGGUUGAUCCUGCCGGACCUGACUGCUAUCGGAUUGAUACUAAGCCAUGCGAGUCAUUGUAGCAAUACAAGGCAUACGGCUCAGUAACGCGUAGUCAACCUAACCUAUGGACGGGAAUAACCUCGGGAAACUGAGAAUAAUGCCCGAUAGAACAUUAUGCCUGGAAUGGCUUAUGUUCCAAAUGAUUUAUCGCCGUAGGAUGGGACUGCGGCCUAUCAGUUUGUUGGUGAGGUAAUGGCCCACCAAGACUAUUACAGGUACGGGCUCUGAGAGGAGUAGCCCGGAGAUGGGUACUGAGACACGGACCCAGGCCCUAUGGGGCGCAGCAGGCGAGAAAACUUUGCAAUGUGCGAAAGCACGACAAGGUUAAUCCGAGUGAUUUGUGCUAAACGAAUCUUUUGUUAGUCCUAGAAACACUAACGAAUAAGGGGUGGGCAAGUUCUGGUGUCAGCCGCCGCGGUAAAACCAGCACCUCAAGUGGUCAGGAUGAUUAUUGGGCCUAAAGCAUCCGUAGCCGGCUCUGUAAGUUUUCGGUUAAAUCUGUACGCUUAACGUACAGGCUGCCGGGAAUACUGCAAAGCUAGGGAGUGGGAGAGGUAGACGGUACUCGGUAGGAAGUGGUAAAAUGCUUUGAUCUAUCGAUGACCACCUGUGGCGAAGGCGGUCUACCAGAACACGUCCGACGGUGAGGGAUGAAAGCUGGGGGAGCAAACCGGAUUAGAUACCCGGGUAGUCCCAGCUGUAAACUAUGCAAACUCAGUGAUGCAUUGGCUUGUGGCCAAUGCAGUGCUGCAGGGAAGCCGUUAAGUUUGCCGCCUGGGAAGUACGUACGCAAGUAUGAAACUUAAAGGAAUUGGCGGGGGAGCACCACAAGGGGUGAAGCCUGCGGUUCAAUUGGAUUCAACGCCGGA